AAUCCCCUGAAUUGUGCGUAUGGUGAUUAGUUGUGAAAUCCGAACAUUUCUGAUAAGGGAAUCCGGAGUUCUGAUAUUGUGUUGAAUGCCUAACCAUUUUGUUAGGAAUCCUAAUAUAUCAGACAGGAUACCCACCUGCUCUCGAGCGGGUUUAUUAUCCUAACACUUACGGCAAUUUGGGUUAUUU
rfam:Turicibacter sanguinis PC909 contig00055, whole genome shotgun sequence.